GAUGAACGCUAGCGGCAGGCUUAACACAUGCAAGUCGAGGGGCAGCAUAAUGAAGUAGCAAUACGGAUUUGAUGGCGACCGGCGCACGGGUGCGUAACGCGUAUGUAACCUACCUCUAACAGGGGGAUAACACUGAGAAAUUGGUACUAAUACCCCAUAACACUUUGGAGGGCAUCCUCUGAGGUUGAAAGUUCCGGCGGUUAAAGAUGGACAUGCGUUGUAUUAGCUAGAUGGUGAGGUAACGGCUCACCAUGGCGACGAUACAUAGGGGGACUGAGACGGUUAACCCCCCACACUGGUACUGAGACACGGACCAG
rnacentral:rRNA from 1 species